UGAACGCUAGCUACAGGCUUAACACAUGCAAGUCGAGGGGCAGCAUGGUCUUAGCUUGCUAAGGCCGAUGGCGACCGGCGCACGGGUGAGUAACGCGUAUCCAACCUGCCUUACACUCUUGGACAGCCUUCUGAAAGGGAGAUUAAUACAAGAUGUUAUCAUGAGUAAGCAUUUUCGCAUGAUUAAAGGUUUACCGGUGUAAGAUGGGGAUGCGUUCCAUUAGAUAGUAGGCGGGGUAACGGCCCACCUAGUCUUCGAUGGAUAGGGGUUCUGAGAGGAAGGUCCCCCACAUUGGAACUGAGACACGGUCCAAACUCCUACGGGAGGCAGCAGUGAGGAAUAUUGGUCAAUGGACGAGAGUCUGAACCAGCCAAGUAGCGUGAAGGAUGAAGGUUCUAUGGAUUGUAAACUUCUUUUAUACGGGAAUAAACGGAUCCACGUGUGGAUUUUUGCAUGUACCGUAUGAAUAAGGAUCGGCUAACUCCGUGCCAGCAGCCGCGGUAAUACGGAGGAUCCGAGCGUUAUCCGGAUUUAUUGGGUUUAAAGGGAGCGUAGGUGGGUUGUUAAGUCAGUUGUGAAAGUUUGCGGCUCAACCGUAAAAUUGCAAUUGAUACUGGCAGUCUUGAGUACAGUUGAGGUAGGCGGAAUUCGUGGUGUAGCGGUGAAAUGCUUAGAUAUCACGAAGAACUCCGAUUGCGAAGGCAGCUUACUAACCUGUAACUGACAUUGAUGCUCGAAAGUGUGGGUAUCAAACAGGAUUAGAUACCCUGGUAGUCCACACGGUAAACGAUGAAUACUCGCUGUAGGCGAUAUACAGUCUGCGGCCAAGCGAAAGCAUUAAGUACUCCACCUGGGGAGUACGCCGGCAACGGUGAAACUCAAAGGAAUUGACGGGGGCCCCGCACAAGCGGAGGAACAUGUGGUUUAAUUCGAUGAUACGCGAGGAACCUUACCCGGGCUUAAAUUGCAACCGAAUAUGGCGGAAACGCUAUAGCUAGCAAUAGCGGUUGUGAAGGUGCUGCAUGGUUGUCGUCAGCUCGUGCCGUGAGGUGUCGGCUUAAGUGCCAUAACGAGCGCAACCCUUGCCGAUAGUUACUAACAGGCCAUGCUGAGGACUCUGUCGGGACUGCCAUCGUAAGAUGUGAGGAAGGUGGGGAUGACGUCAAAUCAGCACGGCCCUUACGUCCGGGGCUACACACGUGUUACAAUGGGGGGUACAGAGGGCUGCUACCACGCAAGUGGAUGCCAAUCCCAAAAACCUCUCUCAGUUCGGAUUGAAGUCUGCAACCCGACUUCAUGAAGCUGAAUUCGCUAGUAAUCGCGCAUCAGCCACGGCGCGGUGAAUACGUUCCCGGGCCUUGUACACACCGCCCGUCAAGCCAUGGGAGCCGGGGGUACCUGAAGUGCGUAACCGCAAGGAGCGCCCUAGGGUAAAACUGGUGACUGGGGCUAAG
rnacentral:rRNA from 1 species